CUGAAUAAGUAUCUAGAUAAAUAAAUAUUCCUUUGUAGUCUUAUCAUUACGGGAAACUCCCUGUGUACCCAGGAUGCUGCACAGGUCACUGAGCAGUCAUCUCCCCAUUGCCCAGAGGCUUCUCAAGGGGACUCAUUUAUUUAAGUAUUUCAGUUUCUGGGAUGUGAGCCACAAUAUGUACCACAAAAAGAGAAAAGCCUGGCAGUUACCAGCAAACACCACAGAAAUACCAAAUGGAUUGGCAGUUUUUUCUUUCUCUUGAACUCUUGUUCCUCUGUUUCUCGGUGAAUUGUACGGCUGCAGAAGCCAGAGCAUCCCAGGAGGGAGAAGGGGAAGUCAGAGCCUAUUCCCAGGCUUAGACACAAGGAAGGAGGAGGGAUCCUCAAGCAAGUGUCCACAGGGCACCACCUACAAGAGCUCUGCUGAAGGCUUCAGAACGGUCCCUGAUCUGCCUUCCUGGCUCCAGAUGGUCACAAGGACCAGGCUGAAUGGCCACAGGCGUUGACAGCUGCAUGUGCACAGCAAAUCCAGGGCCUCGCGACAGCAACAGGGAUGUCUCCUGUCUCCUUAGGUUAUAUGGCACAAGGAAAUGCUGGCCUGGCAGAAAAAAGGAUUAGUAGGGCUUGGGAUGGAGCCACCCCGAAGAGGGGCGAGCAGAUGGUGGAGAAGGUAAGGAGGAGACCUCCUGUGACCAGCAACGCUGUGAUACCCAAGUGCUGUGGUCCCAUGGGAUCUAACCGCUGGCACUGCUGUUUACCCCCUGCUCCCUCCAGCUGAAGCUUGCUUAUAGAAAAGAACGUAUCUCAAUGCGAAGUUUUCCAGCGGGAAGAAUGUGUCCCGUAACCUUUGCACGGCCAGAGCAGCCACGAGAUGGCAGCAACCUUGUACUGCUCGGGCUGGGGAUCUGGCUCGGUGACCCACAUGUCCCACCCCUGCUUUUCCGUGCCUCUUUCACCUUGUAGGUGAGGACUCCAGGCUUGGAGAGCACCAAGACACACUGGCCCAUCCUCUGGGUUGAAGAAGUGUCCCCAGAACGGGGCUGUGCAAGACGCCCCGUGAGCUCAGCUCUCAUCUUUGCAAGCAGGCUGGUGGAGCGGGACUCACCCAGGUCUUCGUGUCCUACCAGGGAUCCCCAGACCCCACUGCGUGCCUGGGCUCUCUCAUCCAAAAUGUAUUUGUGGUACUCUUUCAACUGAUCUGAUCUCAAUCUAGUGAAUGAAAGCUGCUGAAAUCUCUGAAGGGCCACGUGGAAAUGACAGGACAGCCCCUGUCAUCUAUCCUUUUACUGUGGGCCAGCAUGGGUGCUGUGAAAGGACGAGGAGCAGCAAGUGCACAGUGAUUUGUGUGUAACAUUCGCUCUUGCUGAGAACGCAGACUCUUUCCUGCUGAGAAGAGAAAACGUUCUGCAGUUUUCAUUUCAGGAUUCUUGCCAGCUCUGGGCCAGUUUCUUCUGCAAUGCAAAGCUUAUUCUGGUGUGUGCUGUGGUGGCGAGGAGUUUUUCUUGUAGUGACUGUCAGCAGUGCUGUCCUCAGACAACUGCACACAGAUGAGCUCUGCGCUUUGCUCUAGCUCCUGAGCUAACGCAGCCAACACCAUGAAGAGUCGGUUGACUCGGGCUCCCUGACUUCUGGAUCAGUCCUUGUGGGGAUGUAGCGGAGCCUGAGGCAAAUGCAGCAGAAGGUGGCAGAAUCACAGAAUAAUACCGUUUGGGAGGGACCUCUGGAGGUCUCUAGUCCAGCCUCCAGCUCAAAGCAGGGCUAACUCCAAAGUUGCAUCAGGCUGCUCAAUGCCUUGCCCAGCUGUUUUGAAAACCUCUAAGGAUGGAGAUUUCAUAAACUCUCCAGACGAUGGAGGAUGAGAUCUGGGAGGCUGAGCUUGGGCUCAGUGGGGUGACCCCACUGGUUUGCUCUGGUGUGAGUGCUGUCAUUACUAAAUGAUAUUGGCUUCCCAUGGAUCCCUUCAGCCUGUGGGAAAAUCCUUCCCCCUGUCUCCAGCCUGAGGCUGGUGGCUUAGAAAUGCUAACCCUCAGCAUUCUCCUUGGAGGUGACAUCCCACAUCUGAGUCUGGUGUUGAACCAUUUGCCCCAGGCAGCCAGCUGAGCCUCCUGGGAGCCCUCAGGGCAUUCACUGUCCCUGCCUGUGGCCAGCUCCCUUGGCUGUCUGGGAGCCCUUCGGCAUUGUGCGCCCCGAUUCCUCUCCCUCCCAUCACUGUCUUGGCUUCCCCAUGAACCUUCCUUGAUUCUCUUACCCCAGAGAAGACUUAAACACCUCCAUGCACUCAUGCUGACUGAUGAUCCCUGGGAUUUUUGUAGCCCUUAUUUCUCUUGCCCAGGCCCAUUUUUACUAGGCAGUGCCCAAACAAAAUGGAAAAAUCCAAGCACUGUCCAAACCCUCUCCUCCACCCUGUGCAAACAGCCCCACUUGUGAGGGCGGAUUGCUCUUUUGUCCAUCAUUUUGCUGUUGUGCGGUGAUGUCCCCCCUGUUCUAAAAUAUUUUUGCCUGACGAUGAAUUAUUAAACAGUUUUUUGAACCCUUGCCGUUUCUGCACACUGAAGGCCUGAUCCUGGUGGUGCUGAGCGAUUGCUGUCAGGCACAGCUAUGCCUGAUUCCUCAGUAAAGUCUGUUUCGGCAUUGCACAACAUGUCUGUUCUCUGGGGGAGCCGUGCGCAAUCUCCGAUCAGGACAGACGUCUGAGCUUGAUCCCACUGGAAUGACGUCAAAGGCUGCAAUACUGUACCUCUUCCCAGUGCUGGCAGCGCCCGCCCGGCCUGGAGACGUGCCACUGCAGCGGCUGCAGCUGCGCUUGGAGUCGCGGGGCUGCUGCCGGUUCGACCCGCGCAGCCCAGUUAAUAGGUGACCAAAUGGCAGCCCAGGUGGCCCGUGUGGCUUUGUGCGUUGGAAAUCUGCUUACAUAUCUGGCUCUUCCCUGCAAAAAAAAAAAAAAAAAAAAAAGCCUUCCGGAGGGCUUUCACUGAAAGCAAAUUGAAGUUGUUUUUAAAAGGAGUAUCUUCUGAUGUUGACCUGUGAGCAGAUGAAACUCCAGCGAACUGACAGCCUCUCCCAUGCUUGGGAUGCAGGGAAAUGCCGUUCACCGCGGAGCUGCAGCAGGCGGCACAACGGAGGGUGCAGUACAUGGCUGGCUGUGCUUUGGCGCUCACCUCCGUGGCACCGAACAGGAGCAUGUGCCCUACACGCAGCUGUUUUGAACACUCGCUACUGAGCUCUGCUGAAGGCAACGGCGACGGUGAAAGCAGCAGCCUCAGCUUGCACCCAGCCAGCCACGGUGAAAUAAGGGUGACGAAUACACUGCUACACCUGACUGUUUGCACUAGGGAAGGUUUCCCAGUGUUGUAGGGAAGGAAGAGGACAGCACAUCCCUGGGGCAGCACAGACUGACUUCCCCGUGUCCCCAGGCACCCCAGCCCGCUGCACUCCCCAGAGGCUACGGCGGGGCAGGGGAGUUGUGAAAUGCCGUGGUGCUGCUCAGCAGGACGGGAUUCGUUGCAACCUCUUGGCAUGGUUACAAGCAUUGCCUGCGCCUCGCCGGCCCUUUGCCAGCCCUACCACUGGUAAGGCAGCUGCUGACAUUUCACAUCUGCCGGACCCAGCCUGAAGCGGGCUGAUUCCAGCUCUAGACUGGUGAGAUGAUGUUUUUGAUUCGGCCAGCUGUGUGCUGGCCCAAGCUAUGGCCCAUGGUGACAGCCCUGCACAUAGGUCAGGGGGAAGGAAGGAGUGUUGGACAGUUUCAGUUUUUAUACAAAUGCCCAGGCAGUUCUUAGGUUCUUCUUACAAAGGUGCUGACAGAUUAAGAACAGCUCCCAAGUUUUGAUUUUGGAAAUACUGGGAUUUUCCAAGCUGUAAAUCCAGCAGGAGGAGUUCCAGCGUGCCUGUGGUUGUGCGCAGCGCCCUUGCCUCCAGGCAGCUCCGCGCCGUUCAGUAGCUGCUCCCAGGGUGCUGCCACACGGGGUGGAUGCCCUGGGGAAAGUGGAAAAAAGAGUCUGUAAUGUUAGCAGGAACAUUUUUGAUGGCUCAUUAAGUGAAGGAACUACAAGAUGUAGCAGACUGUAUUUAAAAAAAAUUGCUAGGUUUACAAAAAUAGGAGACAUUGUUUUUGAACAUGCAGGAGCAGCGGUAAGGUAUCUUUAAAAAAACUUGUUAUUUUGAGCUGGAAAUAGAACUGAGACAAGUCUUGAAAGUAAAUAUUUAAUUACUGGAUCAAUUCUGAUAAAGAACCAGGUUUGUACUUGAUUUCUUUAGCCUCUGCUGAGCCCACCAGUAAAACUGAUUAGUACUGGUGUUGCUGUGGGUCCCAUCAGCAAAUAACUUACACUUGUGAUUGCAAUUGAUUUUGCAUGCUAAAAGUGAAAAACUUGGCAUCCCAGAAUCAACACCCUUCCCAUCUUCUCUGAUAGUGGUAAUUACCUUUUUUUCUGGGUGUAAAAGAAAAAAUUAGCUUUCUUGACUGGUCACACUAGUGAGGUUCUGAGAUGAAAGGCUGGCAUGACAAUACUUGGCUCUUUGCAGGGCAGAAAUUAGUCAGUAUUUACCUUAGGGGAUGUGGUAUUUAGGCAAGAAUUCCAAUGAGAAUUACAAUAGUGAACUUCAGCUAACUCUGACCAGUUUGCAUGAUCAGUGCUUAACUGUAAUAAGAGACUUGAUACCUGUUAAUUGACAGGAACUGUAGUGCUAUCUAGAAAAGCCCUGCUGCCUGCAUUAGUUCACAGGUUGACCACAAUGAAAUGCAAGCUUAAGGAAAAAAAAAAAAAAAAAAGUCCAGAUCUAAACGUUGCACAAGCGUUGGGGUAAAUCAGCUUUAGAGCCAAGGGCAGUUGCUGUGCCAUGCCUCUGCAGCAGACACAUCCCAAGUUCACUUGGUCACAUACUGGGUGAUGUGCAGAGGUUUAAAGCCAUCUUUUCUCUAGGAAAAAAUGAAUUAGCGUGUCAUUAAGUAGAGAUUAUGGAAGAAUGAAAUCAUUAAAUAAGAUGUGAUGUUCUUUCCCAUUCAGUGUUUACAGGUUCUUCUCAUAGGAGCUGCCAUAUUCCCUGUGCCAUUGGCACAAUUCAGGUAUCCUGAGAAAAAAAGGCUUUGUCAUCAUCUUUUUUUCUACAUAUUCUUUACCAGACAAUCCAAGUGCAUUUUAUGAACACCAGUUUGUCCAGUACUGCAUAAUGUCAAAGUUAUCUGGGGCCCCCCACAAAAGGACAUGGUAAUGGCUUUAAACUGAAAAAGGGCAAAUUUAGAUUAGAUAUAGGGAAAACAUUCUUCACUAUGAAGAACCAAAGCCAACCAAACCAAACCAUUGUAUGAAUCUAUUAUCCUUAGGGAACAGGUGGAGAAACUGAAGAGCGAGGAGAUGAGGUGAGCUGCUUCUGGCCAUAUAUAUAUCUCUAUCUAUAUAUCUACCUCAGAAUUGGGAAAGGACAUGGUUUCCUCUCAAGUGGUGUUUACGGAGAAAAAUAUAUGCCUGUAAUGUGAAUUUAGCUUGCUGUUAUUACUUUUGACUCCAGUAGGGGUGAGUAUUUUGCUCCCAAGCACCUACAGAAUAACAAAAUGUGCAUAUUUACAUCACAGGAUGUAUGACUAGAUUUUUCCCUAACCUUUUGACAAGUCCAAAGCUGGUGUGAAUGAAAACACUUGCUAUGAUCACAUCUGUAUUUUGAGAAAGAAUAAUCCAGGUAUGAAUCAGUGUUUUCUUCAUAGCUCACAUUGCUACUAAGGACUCAUUAGAUGAAAAAAUAGAAGAUUACAUCACAAUGAAUAAUUUUUUUAGAACGAGCAAUCAAUUUGUUUUAGGUUUUAUUGUUUGUUUAUUUGUUUUUAAUUAUUCUGCUGAGUAUAUCUGCCUUGUGACAAGCAAAGCAGUCAGGUCUCAACAGCAGUGAAAUAAAUCUCAGUCCGGGGUGAUGCAAAUUGGGAAGAAGCUCCAGAGAGUGGUGCUAUUUGAAACAAAUUGAGGCAUUAUUUUGAAAGCUUGCACGGAAGAACGGAGUUUUGCCAACUAUUAGAAUUGGACUUCAGAGCAACUGCUGAGUGGGUAAUUAGUCCCUCAGGAACACGGGAGUCUGGACAAAUGUAAGACAGAACAAGAGGGGGAAAAAAAAAGUGUAUGAAGAAUUAACUUUAGAAAACAAGCUAGAAUAUUAGUCACAGAAGCGAUGUAAUUCAACUUUCAUUUAACGUUUAUUUCUGUGAUGAACAGAAACGUUGUUCUUAAUCCCUGUAGUGAAGCAGGAAAAAGGAACCUUCUCGCUUUUGAAGGCAGCUGGAACUGUUCAUCUCUUUGAUAAGAGGGUGAAGAGGAGGGUAAAGAAAUGCACUGAACGUAUUGCGAACCCAGCAAGUGGGACUUACACUCAAGUGAAGCAGGGAAAGAAACCAGUUGUGGAGCUGGUCAAGGUAUUACGUAGUGUCUGUUGUCUUCGGUGACUCCCACGUCAUGAAGACAGAGCAAAUAGCCAAGUUUUAAAAGAUAAUGCCCCCCCAGUAUUUGUUCACAGCCUGUUUACAACAUACAGUCUCAUUUUCCUCUGUGGUGAGCAGCACCCCAGCAGCAAGGAGGUGAUUCACCUACCCAACACGUUGGAGGAUCUUGGCAUACCUCUUUGCUGGGUUUGCAAAGACCAGAUGAAAUACAACUACAAAGAAAACUCCAAGUAUGUGAGACAUUUUGAGGUUAUAUAGUGCACGUGUGGUUGGUCCUGCCCUUCCAGAGCUCCUGAUUCAUAGUCGUAUGCUGUAACUAUUGAACUAUACACUCAUUUGUAGAGUUUCUACACUUUAUUUUUGUGGUUUGUUGCUCCCAUUAUUAUCUCAACAGCAGCAAUUUGCUAAUUAGUCCUCAUUGUAGAACAGGACUAGUAUUGCUUUGGAUGUUUGGUGUUUAGAAAAAAGAAUGUAAUUCACGUGACUGGAGAAGAAGGAAGCAUUGCAAAAUCAUCCGAUAUAUUCCGGUAUGAAUCUAUGUAAAUGGGUCAUAUUCACAGAACUGUGUGUCUGGGGGCUUAACAGUAACAUCACAGCUGAAGGUUUGGGACCAGACCUCCAGACCUGGAUCUUCCUGAUUUUGAGGACUAUGUACUUUUGCACUGCCUCUACGCUAUAACCUCCACAGAGAUUGUCAACCUCCCUGUUGGGCUCUCACUAUAUCAUUGGUGGAGUGAUGGGGUCCCACUUGCUCAUUCUGCACUGGUACCCCCAGGAACACUGUCUGUUGGUGCCAAUGUGUUGCAUUUCUGACCGGGCGAUGCUCCUCUGUGACCUGAGCGAAGGUUACCAGUGCUUUCAUGUAGACUCUGUGCUUACUAUUUAAGGUGAGUAAGAGGCUCUGGAUUCCAUCGGUUGGGUCACCCUCUCUGUUUCCCAAUACGAUGCAAACGGCCAGACAAGCAGGCAGCUCUUCCUUGAAAACAUUCCCGUUCUCAAGAGGUGUGCCAGUUUCUGGCAGACGUGGUGUUGGCAAUGCACGAUGGACGCACCAUGGUCAUAGUUGUUCGUUCCUGUAAACACUGUCUUCAAAACCACUAUCUCCUCUCGACCACCUUGAGCCACUUCCCUGGAGUGCUCAGCAGAAGAAUCCUGCACAAACACACCCAGCUCUGGCGUAUUCCUUCCAGGAGAGGGCAGGGGAAUACAGUUUAUUGCAGAUCCACUACUGAAGAGGAGCCAACAUUCGUCAUGUCCCAGAUCUUCCUCUACAUCUUCCAGUCUAGUUUGCUUCCCUAAACUUGGAUGAGCAGAGGUAAGUGCUGAAUCGCCUCGAAGUGAGUCAGUGGGAUUUGUCACAUUUACAGACCUGCCUGCCCCUGAGUCAUUUUCAGGGGUGACAGCUUGGACUAAGCUCUUCCCUUUGCUCUUGAACCCCUUGCAGUGAGCCUCCUGUAUCGUGUUGGAGGCAUCGGCUUCCGUGCAGCAUCAGGACCAGGGUUUAAACAGCUGAGCCCCAGCUCUUCUGCUUCGUCUCACCACUAAGCAGAGGAGGCAGUGAUGGGACAACACACUCAGCACACCCAUAUCCCUGCAGAAGGUGGUCUAAUUCCCUUGGACAUUCAUAAUGUUGGCAGGUGCAGCUCUGCUCGGGAGUGCUUUUGCCAGAAGAUUAAAAUGCAGGGGUUCUGCAGGGCCACCCAGUGUUGGAGCUGGACCUGGUUAGAGAUGGCCUAGAGAGACACCAGCCAGAAAGUCACCUGAUGUUUUGUCUCUCACUGUCUUAAUGAACAGAAAGUUUGGGUGAAAAUCAGAAACUCUCCCCAACUUCCCCCUGCCUUUAAUAGUCCAAAAGGUAUUAACAUAAAAAGAUCCUAAAAUUAAUUUCUUCCAACUUAUCUCCCCUUAGGCGUAUGAGUCUGACUUGAAAAAACAACAUCAUUUCCAAACUAGUGAAGGAAAGAAAAAAAAAAGAUCAAUAAACUGUUGGCCCUGCAGCACAGAUGCCCUUGCAAGGCCAAAGAAAUUAAGUCCCGAGAUUGCUGUUGCCAUUUCCACCUUGUCCUGCAGAACCACAGUCAGGGAUAAACAUAUUCUUUGUGUCAAUAUUUCUGUAGUACCGAGAGAACUUGCAGUCCUUAUCUGCGGGUGUCAAGGACUGCUAAGUUAAAGUGAUCAUAACAUUACUGGAGAGUCUGACAGGCUUUUUUGUUCCCUCUGUGUCCAUGUAACUGUUCUGGUGCUGAAAGCCGCAGCCCAGUGGAGCUCAGCCAGACAUGGCCAUCAGCUUUGUGGCACAUGGAAGGGAUCCGUCUGCAGGAGGCUAAUUAAAAAAAAAAUAAAUCCCAAAGUAUAAUUUGAACUUCCUUUUAACUUUUUUCUUUGCCUGAUUAUUUUUGCUUCUUUCUUUGGAAAAGAGCAGCCUCGAUCCAUAAAUCACACGGAAAUGUGCAAAUAAUCAAUUCAGCCUGACUAACCCUUGUUUUGCCAAGUGGCCAGUUGGUUCAUCACUUUACUAAUUGGUUGCUGUGGCAGUAAAUGGGGAAUAGCAGGGGCUGGGGCAGAAAUGCCACAGGUGACCUCUAAAGAUAGCAGAGCACUUACCCCGUGCAGACAAUCCCUCUUUUUGCCCAUCCGUGAAGUUCAGACACUUUCCCUUCCAGUCUCCUCAAAAACGAGAGGUCAUUUGUAACAGAAAGCUGUGCAAACUACGUACAGAAGAUGGGAAAAUUUGAGGCAGGAAAAAUCGGCCUCUGUACAGCCCCAUAUGGAAAGGCAAACUGUGUGCAGAGCCAAACAGUUCUUAGGUGUAAACUGUCGAGCAGGGACGAGCCUUUUGCUGCCUUUCCCACCUUUAAUGGGUCUGUGCUACGUGGCAUAACAACGUGGCAACAACCUUCAGCCUACGGUUUCUUUUUGCUUUAUAAUGCAGUGCUAUUAUUAUCCUCAGGGAGAUUUUAAAAGGCUUGAAUGCCAAGGUUUAUUUGCCUUUCCUGACUGGAUCUUUAACACACAGCCAUCAGACAAAAGCCAGUGAAAAGGACCUUAACUUUACGUUAGCCCCAGUGUUUGACUGGGCUGUAGGAAUGUUAAAAAGGUGGUCUGAGUAGAGGAAUCGGUUUGACUGAAGUUUUCUCCCAAAAGGUGGCAAAAGAGGAAUGGAAAAUCCCCAAGCAGAUUGAGGGGCAGAAGCACUAGUAGAUCUUGAAAGGACUUGGUGAGGAGAUGAACAGAGGGAAGGAAAUCUCUUAGCGAUGCACAAAAAGGAUGGGGCAGGGGGAAAGACAAAUGUGUAUCAUAGCGGGCUCAGUUUUGCUGCAGUACCAAAUGAAGGAUGUGAGACAUCGGUCACAACUGCACAAAAAAUCAACCCUAAAAGCCUGUCUCAGCCCAACAGUCAUUUCUGGUUUUCAUGAAAAACUGGCAGCUAAAAUUAAUCAGAAGUCAUUAUAUUUGUCUAGAUCUGUGCAUUUAUCCUGCUGUUAAUAAAAGCUUGUAGUGUUUCCAAAAUCUUGAGCAAGACUUAGAUGUGUGUCUAUUUGCUUUCACUGUUGUGGGGCUCUGAAGAACUAAUCAGUAAAUGAGUUCACAGCUUGAGAAGUGCAUUCAGAUAUCACGGAGCGUUGGAGAAGCGGCUGAGUCAGCCCAGAGGCUGGCAUCUGCCACUGUAGCUUGUCAUUCUUAAUUUUGGGGUUAAACCCCAAAGCAUGCCUGCAGACCCCAAACCCAGGACUGUGGUUUGAGGCCCUUUGUCAUUGUCCUGGGAAAGAAAAUUUCUCAGAUACAAUCUCUGCUCAGAAAAGAUGCUGCAGAGGAUGAAGCUGUUGGACGUAUUUCUCAAGGACAACCCCAGUCUGGGGCUCCAAGUGACAGUGACUUCUGCAUAUUUUCUCAUUAUUCUCUGUUGUACAAUGGCGAGUUUGUGCUGAAGUGAGAUAUCAGAACUCGUGCUAUCGUAUAUCCUGUUUGUUUGUUUUUAACGUGUCCUUUGUCUCUGCCUAGAAAUUUUCUCUGGGCAGAAGAAGAGGACUUUGGAUAUUUGUCCAGGGUGUCCUGAUUUCCAGUAGACUGGUCAGGGCAGUAAUUUCUACAAGAGUGCUGGACACCCAGAAAUGCCUAAGGCAUAGUCACUGAACAUUUGCACAAGGGCUUUGCUGAAGUUUCCCAGCACAGCUGAUCCCAUGUGCACGGCCAAGGGCAUCUGGACACAUGCAAAAAGUUGGUGCAUCCAGAGCUAGUCCCAUAGUGAGCUCAGGUCAGGGGCUCGUCCUGGAUGCUCUGGACUCGCUUCCCAGGCACUCCGUGCGGCUUGCCUGCAUUUUUAAUAUUUUUCCCAGGGAAAUCUCAGGGUGAAAUACAGAGGUCUUAGUUAACACUUGCCUGAUUAAUUCCAUUGCAUUUCACCUCACAGUGAUCACUGUUGCCAUAUAUCGAAUGGGUAAGUUGCUCCGCAGAGUUCUUCAAACGUGCAAAAGCAUCGGAUCCCUCCUCCAUCACAGAGGAGGCACAAAGAAAGGUGGCUGGGCAUCUCCUCCGGCAGCAGCUCGUGUUUGGAUCUGCUUGAGCCCACUGCAAAAGGCUCACCCUCGCACCGCUAGCUUCUGCAGCCGCUCACGGCACAGCCCUGCAGCUCCGAGUGGGCAACACACCCGGCCUCGAGCGGGAAGCAGGAAGGUUGUGGGCCUGGUAAAAUGGGUGAAACUUGAGAAGCAGAACUGCGGCACACACCUAUUUAAUUUCCACAAAAGGUAAAUAUGGAAUUUCACUACCUCUCCAGCAAUUGAAAGUUGGGAACUCCUGUAGCUAAAAUAUAAAGAAAUGGUCUUUUGCAUGUGGAAAACCAACAUUUACAGAAACCUCUAAUGUGUCCCGAUCAUAUGUAGGUUAUAAUAAUGACAAAAUUCAGAUUGUAACUUUUGGUUGUUUUCACAGUAAUAAACAUCAUAAGGGAAUUUCAUAUCUCUACAGCCAACAAAUUAAGUUCCAUUUAAGCUCAGCCUUGAGGAAUCGGGAUUUUAGCUGGAUCUAAAUCUCAUGCCCUUUGCAUUGCAACAAGCUAAACUCCACCUACUCAGGGAACAAAGGGGUUUUAAUUGAGAGAAAACAGCAAGGCAAGGUUUGCCAAAAAUCUAUUUUGGGUAAAAAUAUUUAAGGCCAGCAGUUUUACCAACGUAAUGUUUUUUACCUCAGUGAAGUUACACUAAUGCAGAGUUUGGCCCUGAUGUAUUUGUAUAAAUAUAGUAUCUAGGAAUUUGAUGAGCACGUAUUUAUGCAUUAUUCACUGAGAUAACGUGGAAGACGAGCGAGGUCUGUGCACGAGGGCAGUGCUCUGAGCACCCCGGGGCCUGUGGUGAUACCCACCGGGGUGAGGCAGCUGCGGGGUCCCCUCUGCGCUGCCCCUGGGCCGUGUCUGCCAUGACUUGGCAAGGCUGAGCGUCCUCUUGGGAAGAGACUGGUUUACAUUUGCCAAACCGUGAAACGUGUUACUGGCAAUUCCAAAGCAAUGGAGGCGGAGGACAUCUUUGUCAGUUUAAGGCAUUGAGCUGGAGCUGAAAAGAGAGGAGUCCGCGGCUUGGUUCUGCCACAGACGUUUGGUUUGACCCUCUGUGCCUCAGUUUCCCCAUAAAGUCAUAAAAUGAGGAUAAUCAUUUUUCCUGCAGGACAGCAAGCCCCACAGUGGGAGGGAACGGAUGGUGCUCUGCCCUGUGUAGCCCUCAAAAAGGUGCACAGACCUGUUGUCAUGAGACUGCAUUGUGGUAUCCCAGAUGGUGCCUUCCCAAGGGUCUGAAAAAUGAAAAACUGAAUUUAAAAAACCACUGAUCGAGGAGAAAAACUCACUGCUGCUGCAGCUGGCACCCCGGGAAGCCUCCACAGUGGGGCUGCAGCCUGCAGGAGUGAAACCGCAACCUGGUCCAGGCCAAACAUGCAUGACUGGAGUGUGUGUGUAUGUACAUAUAUAUGUAUAUAUAUAAAAUCAGCACAUGUAUUUUAUAUGAAAAACUA